rnacentral:rRNA from 1 species
AAAUGAAUAGACGGGGGCCCGCACAAGCAGUGGAGCAUGUGGUUUAAUUCGACGCAACGCGAAGAACCUUACCUAGGCUUGAAGCGCAAGCUAAACCUGAUGAAAGUCGGGGUGCCGCAAGGCGAGCUUGUACAGGUGCUGCAUGGCUGUCGUCAGCUCGUGCCGUGAGGUGUUGGGUUAAGUCCCGCAACGAGCGCAACCCUCGUUUUUAGUUGCCACCAGGUAAUGCUGAGCACUCUAAAAAGACUGCCUACGCAAGUAGUGAGGAAGGUGGGGAUGACGUCAAGUCCGCAUGGCCCUUACGCCUAGGGCCACACACGUGCUACAAUGGCCAUUACAAAGGGCUGCAAUACCGCGAGGUGGAGCCAAUCCCUAAAAAAUGGUCUCAGUUCGGAUUGGAGUCUGCAACUCGACUCCAUGAAGCUGGAAUUGCUAGUAAUCGCGCAUCAGCACGGCGCGGUGAAUACGUUCCCGGGCCUUGUACACACCGCCCGU